rnacentral:rRNA from 1 species
AAAGCGGGGGAUCAGCAAUGACCUCGCGCGGAUGGAUUAAGCCGAUGUCGGAUUACUAGUUGGGGGGUAAGAGCCCACAAGGGAGAUCCGUACUGGUCUGAAGGAUGAUCAGCCACACUGGGACUGAGACACGGCCAGACUUCCUACGGGAGGCAGGCAGUGGGGAAUAUUGGACCAAUGGGGGCAACCCUGAUCCAGCAAUUGCCGGUGAGUGAAAGAAGGCCUUCGGGUUGUAAAC